AAUUUUAAGUAAUGAAAUAUUUUCAAUUAAUAUAAUUGUGAUUGAACAUAAUAGGAGCUUUGAGUAGGGGAACAAUUGUUUAAUAUUUUCUUAUAUUUUAUAAUUCUUAUAACUUUUUAUAUUUCUUAUUAAUUUUCGUACAACUUCGUGUUACGCACUUCGUUCUCCAAACUAUUCUCAGCGCGAGUUCUGAAAAUCAAUGUCUCAUCAGAAUACAUAAUAAUCAUUUGCGAAUCGUAUCGCCGUUACGGUAUCAGAGACGCGAGGAGUGCGCGACGUAAAUAAAUUUUUAUGGACUCGCUCGUGCGUCGAUUUUUACGGUGCGUCUCUUUUGCAUACGCCGCGAUCUCUCAUCUCGUCGGAGUAGAGACCGCUUUCGUUCGACUUAACUCUUUCCUUCUUUUUCCUCCCUACUCCCUCCUUCGCUGAAACUAAACUACGUCGAUUCCGCCGUAUAAUUUGCGGGUAUAGAAAAUGCGCGGAGAGCGCAUCUCUUAGAUCACGCAGGCUGGAUUUAAGAGGUAGGGCAGGCUCGUAACGUAUAAAGGGCGCAAGAUAAUCAAUUACCCCGGCUACCGUCUUCCCAAGAGCAAUAACAUCGGCCGGCUGUUGCCCGUUUCAGGUCGUGUACCUGUUGCAACCGCGCGCGUACGUUUAAUAGCAUCCCUAAUCGGUUACGCCCGGUCGUAAGGGCCUCCUCCCUCUUUAGACUUCUCCGAGGAACGAGAUAGAUUCGAACGGUUUCCAAUGUAAAUUUCCCGCUUUGACUCUUUCUAAUGAUAUCCGCGUUUUUUGUCCUUUAAUGGAAUUCAUGAUACGCACGCUGCUCCGCGCAGAUCCUUCAAGAAAUUCUACUGACAAGGAAAGGUUUUUAGAUCUUUUUUAAGAGUAAACUGUUUCAGUAACAGCAUAACAAAAUAAAUAAAUACAUAGAUAAUCGAAAAUAAAACUAUCAUACAAUCAUAAAAUAUUCACUCGAUUACGGAUUAUUGUAACAGAUCGUACACUGAUCAUAAAUCAGUGCUAAUUCAAUCCCAAUCCAGCAGAUACGUACCUCGAUCACAAGGACACGAUCCGAUCGCCAUGGCAGGUUUAUUUCAUGCCGAAUCACGGGGCAGACCUUUCGCAACUUUUCUUUCUCCGUCUCUCCAUCCCUCAAGGUGGUACCCGCAGACGUAUAAUACGGGGAACGAGGGGGGCGUGGAGUAAAAGGCACGGGGUAAAGAGGGAGAGGCGAGCGUUCACGUCCCGAUAUAUUAAGCUCGAUAUUCCGCGGCGGACGUUAAGAGGCUCGAAAUGGCGAAUAAACGUUCGGUCGUAAAACGGUCGGCGCGGCGCGGCAUGGCGCGGUGAGCCGUAUCUUCUAGGGGUAAUAGCGCGUGUGAUACGCAUCGAACGUGUGUAAGUCCGGCCGUUCCCCCAUCUACCUUCCGUACCUUCUUCGGAGUAUCGCGUUUUUCGCGGGACGCGACAGAACCGAAUCGAAGUAGGAGAUGCUGGAGAUAGGCCAUUAACCGAGUAAUCCGAAUGGCGCUUAGAUGGCGAUGAAUCAAACUAAACACAUACUUGUGACAGCACAAAGCUUGUCGUAUAUAAAGACCCUGGACCAGAGAUCGGAUAAUGUGCUGUCAUAGGAUAUAAAACCGGAUAUGAUAUUUCUGUUGGCCAUCUUUUACUUAUUUGAUUUGAAACAAAAAACUUAUUGGACUUAAUUUUGAGCUCACAUUAGCUAAUAAGUUACAUCAAAUUAUUGAUAAUAUGAAGUAAAAUGCAGAAUAAGAUAUGUAUUUAUUAUAUCUUUCUCUCACACUUCCGGUUUUAUCCUAAGCGAGCCAAUCAGAAAUCGAUCGCUUAAUAUUUCUUAACUCGUCACGCUUCUUGAGAAUAAGAAAUGAUCUCCUUGUGAUUAUUUUUAUAUCUCAUAUUUUUAUCAUCGUGCUUUUGCACUCGCAUCGUUAGACUGCACGGAUCCUGACGGAAUCCGCACCGUCGUCGCUCCGGGGUUCCACUCGAUGUCUAUCUAAUCUCUUCCCUUUCGGGCUUCCUACUCGAACCUUUAACUUCCGCGGACGUAACGUUAUUACAUUUCGCUCGCUUGAAACUGAAGGCACACAAAGUGAAGAACAAGGGGAGAGAGCGCGCGCGAGCAAGAGAGAGGUGAAGCUGAGAGGGCACGAUAGAACGAAACGAAGACGAAGUAGAAACGAGCAACAGUCUAAAGAGGGGGACGAGGGAUACCCUCGGGCACGGCAGCAUGAUUACGAGCCGCAAUUAUGUCUCCGCCGGCUGCCGGCCACGCAGAGGUCGUCGGGUACAGUAGACUACGAAAGUUCCUCUUCAAUAAUCUUCGGAAAUAAUCGUCUAUCUUUCGCAUAUUAACCCCUUCUGCGCGACCCACGUGAUUUUUGCAUUACGAGUGCAAAACAAGAUCUUUUUAAUUUAAAGGGAGAAUAAAUUGUAUAUAUUUUUAGUUAUUUGCUUGAAAAAUAGGUAGGUUUAUUUAUUUAUGGAAUAGGGACUUUGUGUUUUAAAAAAACAAAAUAGAAAUUGUGAGGGGAAUUGGUUAUUUAUACGCUUAAGUCAUCGAUAACUUUGCACAUGUACCGUCAUAAGAAAGGAGUUUAAAGGAGAUAGAGACGACGAGCAUUUUUUAUUUACUACUUUGAAGGAUGCAAAAUCUUUUUGUGCUAGACAUAAUAAUUAAAAAAAAAUAAGAAGACAUUAAAUGAAAAAUAUAGAAAUUUAUGAAGCUUAAUAUAACAAAUUCACUGGGCAAUUGCAAUAAUUAUAUAGAAAUAUACCAGCGUUUACCAACGUUAUAUUUUCUUAGUGAAUUGUAUGUAGAUUUCAAAGAGAAACGUUCCCGGAAUUAUUCAAUUUUCCUUACUUUGUCAUACACCAUUAAAUGCCUAUUAAAUGCCUAUCUAAUGUACAGAAAACAGUUCAUUUACAUGAAAUUACUACAUCGUGUGCAAAAACGAGACAGAAAGAAAGAAAAGAUUUCUCUGAUAAACCUGGUUGAAUCGAGUCGCUAACUGUUACUGUACAUGUUGCAAACGCUUAACUCACAGCUUUCUGAUGAAAGAAGCACAGUUGUCAUAAGGCAAGAAAUGUGUACAUUAUAUGUACAUUAAAACGCUUACACUACACGCUGCACGUUUACGUCAAUUUUAUUCGCUUUAUUUCCUUUGGCUCUACAUCUACUAACCCAGAAAUCGGAAAAACAUGUUAUCGAGCGAUUUGCAUAGUCUGCGAAAACAGUCUUGAAAUCAGUGUGCACGCUUACAAUGUUCUCCAUCCGGACAAACAUGCUGUCUCGAUGUUUUUCGUCGAUAAAGCAACGUAGCUUGUAGCAGUCACUGUACCGAACGUAGAUCCCGGGAAAGGGUCGGGGAAAGAGAGAGAAAGAAAGAGAGAGGGGGGGAAGAGCGGGGAGGAUCAGGCGAGUGGCCGCGAGCAGGUAAAACGAAGCGGUGUGUGGAACAGACCUGUAGAGGGAGACGAGCAGAUGGCGAAGAAGGGAAGAAUGGUCUACAAAGGUGGUGCGAGAGAGACCGAUCGCGAAAAAAAUACGUUGAACCUGAAUAAAGAACAGGUGAGAGAGACACGGAGGCUAGCACAUGGCGCAACGCCGACGAAGGAACGAGGGAAAGCCGCAGGAAAGAACGAACGAGACCUCGAAGGAGGAGGAAGAAUGGGAGCGAGGAGGCCGAUUUCGAUGACGAAACUGGAAUAAUCAGUGGACACGAGGAAUUAUGAGGAUAGAAUCAUGAAGAUGGACGGAUAAACGACGAGCACGAUGGAAUUGCGGCGUAGAGAUGAGAGAGACCGGGUGUAAGGGAGUAGGGGAGAGCGGAAGAAGCGAGAGGGAAGUUAAGUACGGAGAGGUGUGGCAACAAGAAGAAGGAAUGAUUAGGGUAAGGAGAGCAAGGGCGGAGGAUGUGUGGAAGCUAGAAUGAGAAAUCGCGGGAGCAAGAGUGACUGCGGAGGAAAGAGAGAGAAAGCGUGAGAUUGGACAGGGAGCGGAGCAAGGAGAAGGUAGAAACAGGUGCUAGACGCGAGAGAGCGAGGGGGGGAGGGAGAGACAACGCGCGGCGCAAGAGGCAGAAAGAGACCGACGGAGAUAGGACGAAGAAGAGAUAAACCGACCGGCUAACAUGUGCCAGAGGUAGGGUAAGGGGGAGGAGGGAAAAGGACGGGGUGGAACGGACCCACCGUGAGGCACGUUCCCACGAUCUCAUGAAUGAACUCGCGUGGCUACUCGCCGCCGUGGUGGGGCGGCACUCGCACCGCGCUCACCUUGCCUCUCGCCCAUCGUCUUUCAUCCUCCGCUCGCCCCGCGACCCCGCGCCCCGGCAAGAGGGACGAGCGCCGGUGAGCGGGUAGACUCGGAUAGGGAAUUCGAACGUUGCUUCGCGCUCGAUGUCGCGGGGUAAAAAACCCUGGACUAACGCGACGAUCGCGAUCGUGGUUGGUCGCGGCGUUUGAAAAAUUGAACAAGGAAACGCGCGGAAGUUACUCCCGAUAAGGAUUAACUUAAUUCAGGAACUACCGAGUGGAGCUGGCGAUUGCUCUCGGACAGAUAUAAGUGUUCGAUUUGAUCGAUAAAUCGAUCGAUCGAACGAAACUGGAGCGAUCUAGUUCUCAAUGAAAUGAAUACCGAGUUAAUUCAACGGUCUGAUGCAAUAUAGUAAACUUCAUCGGCACGUUGAUUACGUACAAUCAACAGUCAUGAAAUAAAGAAACGAUCUAGUUGGCUAAUAAUCAAUUACUUUAAUUUCGUAAUGGAUUUAAUAAAAGUUAAACUAAUUUGGUAUUUAAAUAAUAAACAAAUGUUCUUCGACCACCACUGGCUAAAAAUAUAUUUAAAACGCACAACGUUUCGGCUUGAUUUGAAGCCCUUAUCAAGUGCAAACCAAUUAACAUCAUUUUCUGUAAACAAGAUAUAAUAUAAGUACAAAGAACCAAAAAAA